UACGAAGGGGGCUAGCGUUGCUCGGAAUCACUGGGCGUAAAGGGUGCGUAGGCGGGUCUUUAAGUCAGGGGUGAAAUCCUGGAGCUCAACUCCAGAACUGCCUUUGAUACUGAGGAUCUUGAGUUCGGGAGAGGUGAGUGGAACUGCGAGUGUAGAGGCGAAAUUCGUAGAUAUUCGCAAGAACACCAGUGGCGAAGGCGGCUCACUGGCCCGAUACUGACGCUGAUGCACGAAAGCGUGGGGAGCAAACAGG
rnacentral:rRNA from 1 species